UGGAUCAAAUGGACAAAUUACUAGAAAGGAAUGCUGUAGAACAUGAAGAAAUGUUCACCUGGUAGUUGACAUUGUGAUCCAUUUGCAGGCUGUUACCUUCUCCUCUCAAGGAUGCAGUGGAAGUCUCAACCUGGAGAAGAUGCUAUACAAUGCAAGAGGUGAACUCUGCCCUUAGUAAAAUCCAGCUGGUGGGAUAUUCUCAGAAAAUUGAGCUUUUUGGUGCGGUCCAGGUGACUCCUCUGAGCUCUGGCUAUGCCCUUGGGAGCUCCAACUGGAUCAUCCAGUCUCAUUACGAGAAAGUGUCUUAUGUCUCU
rnacentral:lncRNA from 10 species